rnacentral:lncRNA from 1 species
CAUCAAAGCAGCAACAACAUGCCACUGUUCUCUACUCCCAUUCCAGUAGUUGCACCUUCUAAUGAUAAUCCAUAGCAACCCAUUUGAGCUCGAUGGAUCAAGACACAGGCUGCCGGCUUUUAAACCAUAGAUGAAACCACAGCUUAUGAAGAGAAUACAGACAGCGUUAGAGGAUCCCUGAAUUGGGAGUCGUCACGCCGGCUUUCUCCACAGAGCUGAUUGUGGACUACAGGAAAAGGCAUUAACAUUGACGGGGCUGUAGUGGAGCGGGUCGAGAGUUUCAAGUUCCUUGGCGUUCAUAUCACCAACGAACUAUCAUGGUGCAAACAUACCAAGACAGUCUUGAAGAGGGCAAGCCAUAAUCUUUCCCCCCUCAGGAGACUGAAAAGAUUUGGCCUGGGCCCCCAGAUCCUCAAA